rnacentral:rRNA from 1 species
GGUUAAGCGACUAAGCGUACACGGUGGAUGCCCUGGCAGUCAGAGGCGAUGAAGGACGUGCUAAUCUGCGAUAAGCGUCGGUAAGGUGAUAUGAACCGUUAUAACCGGCGAUUUCCGAAUGGGGAAACCCAGUGUGAUUCGUCACACUAUCAUUAACUGAAUCCAUAGGUUAAUGAGGCGAACCGGGGAACUGAAACAUCUAAGUACCCCGAGGAAAAGAAAUCAACCGAGAUUCCCCCAGUAGCGGCGAGCGAACGGGGAGCAGCCCAGAGCCUGAAUCAGUGUGUGUGUUAGUGGAAGCGUCUGGAAAGGCGCGCGAUACAGGGUGACAGCCCCGUACACAAAAAUGCACAUGCUGUGAGCUCGAUGAGUAGGGCGGGACACGUGGUAUCCUGUCUGAAUAUGGGGGGACCAUCCUCCAAGGCUAAAUACUCCUGACUGACCGAUAGUGAACCAGUACCGUGAGGGAAAGGCGAAAAGAACCCCGGCGAGGGGAGUGAAAAAGAACCUGAAACCGUGUACGUACAAGCAGUGGGAGCACGCUUAGGCGUGUGACUGCGUACCUUUUGUAUAAUGGGUCAGCGACUUAUAUUCUGUAGCAAGGUUAACCGAAUAGGGGAGCCGAAGGGAAACCGAGUCUUAACUGGGCGUUAAGUUGCAGGGUAUAGACCCGAAACCCGGUGAUCUAGCCAUGGGCAGGUUGAAGGUUGGGUAACACUAACUGGAGGACCGAACCGACUAAUGUUGAAAAAUUAGCGGAUGACUUGUGGCUGGGGGUGAAAGGCCAAUCAAACCGGGAGAUAGCUGGUUCUCCCGAAAGCUAUUUAGGUAGCGCCUCGUGAAUUCAUCUCCGGGGGUAGAGCACUGUUUCGGCAAGGGGGUCAUCCCGACUUACCAACCCGAUGCAAACUGCGAAUACCGGAGAAUGUUAUCACGGGAGACACACGGCGGGUGCUAACGUCCGUCGUGAAGAGGGAAACAACCCAGACCGCCAGCUAAGGUCCCAAAGUCAUGGUUAAGUGGGAAACGAUGUGGGAAGGCCCAGACAGCCAGGAUGUUGGCUUAGAAGCAGCCAUCAUUUAAAGAAAGCGUAAUAGCUCACUGGUCGAGUCGGCCUGCGCGGAAGAUGUAACGGGGCUAAACCAUGCACCGAAGCUGCGGCAGCGACGCUGAUGCGUUGUUGGGUAGGGGAGCGUUCUGUAAGCCUGCGAAGGUGUGCUGUGAGGUAUGCUGGAGGUAUCAGAAGUGCGAAUGCUGACAUAAGUAACGAUAAAGCGGGUGAAAAGCCCGCUCGCCGGAAGACCAAGGGUUCCUGUCCAACGUUAAUCGGGGCAGGGUGAGUCGACCCCUAAGGCGAGGCCGAAAGGCGUAGUCGAUGGGAAACAGGUUAAUAUUCCUGUACUUGGUGUUACUGCGAAGGGGGACGGAGAAGGCUAUGUUGGCCGGGCGACGGUUGUCCCGGUUUAAGCGUGUAGGCUGGUUUUCCAGGCAAAUCCGGAAAAUCAAGGCUGAGGCGUGAUGACGAGGCACUACGGUGCUGAAGCAACAAAUGCCCUGCUUCCAGGAAAAGCCUCUAAGCAUCAGGUAACAUCAAAUCGUACCCCAAACCGACACAGGUGGUCAGGUAGAGAAUACCAAGGCGCUUGAGAGAACUCGGGUGAAGGAACUAGGCAAAAUGGUGCCGUAACUUCGGGAGAAGGCACGCUGAUAUGUAGGUGAAGUCCCUCGCGGAUGGAGCUGAAAUCAGUCGAAGAUACCAGCUGGCUGCAACUGUUUAUUAAAAACACAGCACUGUGCAAACACGAAAGUGGACGUAUACGGUGUGACGCCUGCCCGGUGCCGGAAGGUUAAUUGAUGGGGUCAGCGCAAGCGAAGCUCUUGAUCGAAGCCCCGGUAAACGGCGGCCGUAACUAUAACGGUCCUAAGGUAGCGAAAUUCCUUGUCGGGUAAGUUCCGACCUGCACGAAUGGCGUAAUGAUGGCCAGGCUGUCUCCACCCGAGACUCAGUGAAAUUGAACUCGCUGUGAAGAUGCAGUGUACCCGCGGCAAGACGGAAAGACCCCGUGAACCUUUACUAUAGCUUGACACUGAACAUUGAGCCUUGAUGUGUAGGAUAGGUGGGAGGCUUUGAAGUGUGGACGCCAGUCUGCAUGGAGCCGACCUUGAAAUACCACCCUUUAAUGUUUGAUGUUCUAACGUGGACCCGUAAUCCGGGUUGCGGACAGUGUCUGGUGGGUAGUUUGACUGGGGCGGUCUCCUCCUAAAGAGUAACGGAGGAGCACGAAGGUUGGCUAAUCCUGGUCGGACAUCAGGAGGUUAGUGCAAUGGCAUAAGCCAGCUUGACUGCGAGCGUGACGGCGCGAGCAGGUGCGAAAGCAGGUCAUAGUGAUCCGGUGGUUCUGAAUGGAAGGGCCAUCGCUCAACGGAUAAAAGGUACUCCGGGGAUAACAGGCUGAUACCGCCCAAGAGUUCAUAUCGACGGCGGUGUUUGGCACCUCGAUGUCGGCUCAUCACAUCCUGGGGCUGAAGUAGGUCCCAAGGGUAUGGCUGUUCGCCAUUUAAAGUGGUACGCGAGCUGGGUUUAGAACGUCGUGAGACAGUUCGGUCCCUAUCUGCCGUGGGCGCUGGAGAACUGAGGGGGCUGCUCCUAGUACGAGAGGACCGGAGUGGACGCAUCACUGGUGUUCGGGUUGUCAUGCCAAUGGCACUGCCCGGUAGCUAAAUGCGGAAGAGAUAAGUGCUGAAAGCAUCUAAGCACGAAACUUGCCCCGAGAUGAGUUCUCCCUGACUCCUUGAGAGUCCUGAAGGAACGUUGAAGACGACGACGUUGAUAGGCCGGGUGUGUAAGCGCAGCGAUGCGUUGAGCUAACCGGUACUAAUGAACCGUGAGGCUUAACCUU